GAUGAACGCUGGCGGCGUGCCUAAUACAUGCAAGUCGAGCGAACGGACGAGAAGCUUGCUUCUCUGAUGUUAGCGGCGGACGGGAGAGUAACAUGUGUAUAACCUACCUAUAAGACUGGGAUAACUUCGGGAAACCGGAGCUAAUACCGGAUAAUAUUUUGAACCGCAUGGUUCAAAAGUAAAAGACGGUCUUGCUGUCACUUAUAGAUGGAUCCGCGCUGCAUUAGUUAGUUGGUAAGGUAACGGCUUACCAAGGCAACGAUGCAUAGCCGACCUGAGAGGGUGGACGCACAGCCUGGAACUGAGACAGGGUACAGACUCCGACGGGAGGCAGCAGUCGGGAAUCUUCCGCAAUGGGCGAAAGCCUGACGGUGCACCGCCGCGUGAGUGAUGAAGGUCUUCGGAUCGGAGAACUCUGUUAUUAGGGAAGAACAUAUGUGUAAGUACCUGUGCACAUCUUGACGGUACCGAGUCAGAAAGCCACGGCUAACUCCGUG
rnacentral:rRNA from 1 species